GGGGAAUCUUGCGCAAUGGGCGAAAGCCUGACGCAGCGACGCCGCGUGAGCGAUGAAGGCCUUCGGGUCGUAAAGCUCUGUCAGAGGGGACGAUAAUGACGGUACCCUCAGAGGAAGCCCCGGCUAACUACGUGCCAGCAGCCGCGGUAAGACGUAGGGGGCUAGCGUUGUCCGGAAUUACUGGGCGUAAAGGGCGUGUAGGCGGCCAGGCAAGUCAGUGGUGAAACACCUGGGCUUAACCGAGGUAUUGCCGUUGAAACUGUCUGGCUUGAGGAUAGAAGAGGAGUGUGGAAUUCCCGGUGUAGCGGUGAAAUGCGUAGAGAUCGGGAGGAACACCAGUGGCGAAGGCGGCACUCUGGUCUAUACCUGACGCUGAGGCGCGAAAGCUAGGGAAGCAAAC
rnacentral:rRNA from 1 species